rnacentral:rRNA from 1 species
UACGUAGGAGGCGAGCGUUGUCCGGAUUUACUGGGCGUAAAGAGCGCGCAGGCGGCAUGUCAAGUAAGGUGUGAAAUCUCCCUGCUCAACGGGGAGGGUGCAUUUUAGACUGGCAAGCUAGAGGACGGUAGAGGGGGGUAGAAUUGCUGGUGUAGCGGUGAAAUGCGUAGAUAUCUGGAGGAACACCGGUGGCGAAGGCGGCGUCCUGGACCAACACUGACACUGAGGAGCGAAAGCCAGGGGAGCAAACAGG